rnacentral:rRNA from 1 species
GCCUGCCCAGUGACCAUGUGUUCAACGGCCGCGGUAUUCUGACCGCGCGAAGGUAGCGUAAUCACUUGUCUUCUAAAUAAAGACUAGUAUGAACGGCCACACGAAGACUUAACUGUCUCCCCUGUCCAAUCAGUGAAACUGAUCUCCUUGUGCAGAAGCGAGGAUAAACCCAUAAGACGAGAAGACCCUAUGGAGCUUUAAACUUAAUAUUAACUAUUUCUAUAAUCCCCUCUAAGGAAUUAACAAAUAACCCCUUUCAACUUAAUAUUAGUUUUAGGUUGGGGCGACCAUGGAGAAAAAAAUAUCCUCCCUGAUGACUUUUAAACCAAGAGCUACAACUCUAAGUAUUAAGAUACUUAACUUCCAUUGACCCAUUUUAUGAUCAACGAACCAAGUUACCCUAGGGAUAACAGCGCAAUCCAUUUCAAGAGUCCCUAUCGACAAAUGGGUUUACGACCUCGAUGUUGGAUCAGGGCAUCCCAGUGGUGCAACCGCUACUAAUGGUUCGUUUGUUCAACGAUUAAAGCCCU